UUCUCGCUUUCCCCAUUUUUGCGAUCCUCCGCUGCCCCCUGCCGGCUGCUUUCUUCCCCAGCUGAAGUGGAAAUCAGGUGAUUUCUAGGAAAUCCUUCAAGGGACCAGUUGAAGCAAGUCACGGAUUGCAAAAAAAUGGUCAAGGUUCCCACAUAUGUCACAGCUUUGGAAUCUGUGCAAGUGAGUGUAUGCCUACCUAUGGUAUGGAAAAGCGGAAAUAUAUAAAAGUUUUACAAAUCACGUAAUCAGAAAAAACCUAUUUAGAGUAUGGGGAAAGUAGAAAAACUUAUUAGAAAGAAAAACACCACUGUGGAUAUCCCCAGUGGAAGCUACAACCAGGAAAAGAAUAAAUAUGGAUAAGCAGUGGUUAACUUACAGUGAAAUUUUAUCUCUUACAGGACAGGAACCAAAACUGAGAAAUCUCGAGGAAUUAAGAAAUCUGGUUACCAAUUAGCUACAGGUACAUCACAUUAAUGAAUUGUUUAAGAUAGAUAGGAAAAAUGGUUUUGCAGAACAAAAGUCUGAGUUUACCAAAGACCUAUUAGAUACAAAUAUAGAAGUAUUAUCAAAUUUGUACAAACUGCUGUUGGAGUGAGAAACGAAAGAGGAAUUUGUGAAAUUUAGCAGGAUUAAGUGGGCACAGGAUGUGGGUCACAAUAUCAAUCAUGAAUUGUGGGGAAAGUUGUGGAAAAUAAAUAUGAAUUUUAUGGCAAAUUAUGCAAUAAAAAAUUAUAUGAUGAAAAUGGCCCACAGAUGAUAUUUAACACCCACCAGAUUGGUGAAAAUGUCUAAAGAAGAAAAAGGAAAAUGUUGGAAGUGUAAUGAAAUUGAGGGAUCUUUUAUUCACAUGUGUUGGUCGUGUAAAAUAAUAAGGAAUAUUGGGAAACGAUAUAAAAUGAAUUUUAAAAUAUACCUAAAAAGACUUUCCCCAAAACACCUGAGAGUUUCCUUUUGGGGAUGGUAACAAUGGAGGUCCCCCCAAAACAAGAGACUUUAUUACUAUACACCACUGCCACAGUUAGAACCUUAUUGGCACAAAGGUGGAGAACAAGGAUAGUACCCACUCAGGAAGAAUGGCAGUGUAAAAUGUUCGAAUGUACAGUGGUACCUCGGGUUAAGUACUUAAUUCGUUCUGGAGGUCCGUUCUUAACCUGAAGCAACACUUUAGCUAAUGGGGUCUCCUGCUGCUGCCUCGCCGCCAGAGCACAAUUUCUGUUCUCAUCCUGAAGCAGAGUUCUUAACCCGAGGUACUAUUUCUGGGUUAGCAGAGUCUGUAACCUGAAGCGUAUGUAACCCGAGGUACCACUGUACUGAACUGACUGGUCUGACGAACAGGAUAAGAGAAAACAGAUAUAAGGAAUAUAAGGAGGAAUGGAUGUUGUUUAUUGAAUAUUUCAAGAACCAGUCUAGAGAAAGACAUAGCUUAGCAGGUCUCGUAUAAAUCCAGCAGUUAAAAUAGAUGAGAGUAUUUAAUAGAUAUCAAAUCGGAUGAUUAAAAAGAUGUGGAUUACGCAGAGUAGUAGAAAAGGAAAGGAACCAGGAAAAGUGUGGAAGGAAAGUCAUAUGGUAUAUAUAUACAUGUUGUAUUUGGUAUGAAGUUGUAAGUGGGACGAGGGAAGGAGAGAGGGGUUAAAUAUGCUCUCUGUUCCUGUUUUGGAAAAUGCAAAUAAUUUUUAAAAAACUUGAUCCCCUCUUCACGGAGGCGUUUUCAAGGUGGGCACCCCCCCACACACACCAAUGGAGGAGCUGCUCAAAUGUUAACAUACGUCUCAGUCUACAACCUUCUAAGAUUAUACAAUAAAAUUAUAAUGGUACAGGAAUAAUAAUUAGGAGUGUUUUGCAAUCAUCAGUGCAGUUCUCCAUGUGUUUCCUAGAUGUUCACACACAAAUGAUUUUGCAGUGCUCCACUAUUGCCUUAAGUUGUGUUUUCCAUGAAGUAACAUUGUACGUAGCAUAACUCACACACCAAGGCCAGCCCAAUACAUUUUGACACCUGAGGCCGGCCCCCAAAUGGCAUCCCACUCGCCAUCAGGGAAGAAGGGGUGAGGGAAGAUUUACAUCCAGGGCAGAGGGAGAAAGAUUAGCUCAUUUUAAAUGGUAUUGUUUUAACAUUUUGAUGUUUGCUGCGUGAGCUCCUUUGGGAGGAAGAGUGGGAUAAAAAUUUAAAAUAAAUUAAAUAUUUUGGGCAUCUCCUUUUUCUCUUAGUAGGAGAACUUCCACCUGGGAUUGUGGACUUUUGGGGCAACCCCAUCUUGGUCAUCUCCCACCACCCGCUGCCCCAGAUGAGAUAUAUAUACAUUUCUUUUAUUAUAGUCCCAAGCCUCCUUUCUUUCGUCCUGGAACCAAGGACAGCAUCCAGGUGGUUUUCCCCACGCCCAGGCCCUGACCAGACUUCACACCCUCUUGGCUUCAGGUAAUUUAAUUCCACCUCUGCAAAGCCACAGAUUAUGUCCCCAUCUCGCUUUGGACACUAGUUCUUUAGUCACUUUACAAAGGAAGACCAAUUAUUGGCACCUCCCUGCCAGUCUGUGAAUAUUCUCAGGAACUUCAAAAUCUCUGGAACUCCUGUGAUAAGAAGGAAAGAACCACUAAAGACGAAGGGAGAGCACCUGUUUAUUUCAGUCAAACGGAUAUUACAAAAGGAGUAAUAAUAUUUAUUAUAUCCAGUGUCUUCAAAGCAAGAUGCAGCAAAUCCAUUGGGUUAGGCAAGAAGAGUCUUGCAGCCCCUGGAGGUCUAAAAGAGUUACUGCAUUCUUAUAUCUAGGAAAGACUCUCCUCAGCCUACGAAAAGGGAAAGAAGAUGGCGGAAAUCCUAUGGUGGAAACCGCAGAGAGGCAAAAUACGUUCCUCAAGGGCCACAGGUGGAAAAGCAAGAAUGUAUGAGAUAAAAAUUAGGCAAAUUGAAGGCAACAAAACUAGUUUACUUGGAAGAGUUCAUGUGGUCCCACUCCCAGUGGGUCACCCCUCCUAGAAGGCUGUGGGGACCAGGCAACAAGUCUCAUUAACUGGAGGCCUGCAGCCCAAAAGAAGGGGCUCCUUAUUUCAGAUCAAACUCUGGCCAUGAAGCUCCUGACCUGCCUCUCCUCCUUGCUGGCUUCCUCCUUGGCUGUCAGCAGAAUCUGA